AAGGUCCCAAGCGUUGUUCGGAAUAACUGGGCGUAAAGCGUGUGUAGGCCGCGCGGAAAGUCGGAUGUGAAAGCCCAAGGCUCAACCUUGGAACUGCAUCCGAUACUCCCGUGCUAGAGUAAUGGAGAGGUAAGUGGAAUUCUCGGUGUAGCAGUGAAAUGCGUAGAUAUCGAGAGGAACAUCAAUGGCGAAGGCAACUUACUGGACAUUCACUGACGCUCAGACACGAAGGCUAGGGUAGCGAAAGGGAUUAGAUACCCCUGUAGUCCUAGCAGUAAACGGUGCUCGCUUGGUGUGGGAGGGUUCGACCCCUUCUGUGCCGGAUCUAACGCGUUAAGCGAGCCGCCUGGGAAGUACGGUCGCAAGACUAAAACUCAAAGAAAUUGACGGGGACCCGCACAAGCGGUGGAGUAUGUGGCUUAAUUCGAUGCAACGCGAAGAACCUUACCUAGGCUUGACAUGCUUGUCGUAUUCUCCCGAAAAGGAGAAGUCGCUUCGGGCGGACAAUGCACAGGUGCUGCAUGGCCGUCGUCAGCUCGUGUCGUGAGAUGUUUGGUUAAGUCCAGCAACGAGCGCAACCCCUGUGAACUGUUGCCAGCGAAUAAUGCCGGGGACUCUGUUCAGACUGCCCAGAUCAACUGGGAGGAAGGUGGGGACGACGUCAGGUCAGUAUGGCCCUUACGCCUAGGGCUGCACACGUACUACAAUGCCCAGCACAAUGAGAACCGAUACCGUGAGGUGGAGGCAAUCUGUAAAACUGGGCCCAGUUCGGAUUGGAGGCUGCAACUCGCCUCCAUGAAGUUGGAAUCGCUAGUAAUGCCGUAUCAGCUACGACGGCGUGAAUACGUUCCCGGGUCUUGUACACACCGCCCGUCACAUCAUGGAAGUCGGUCGCACCCGAAGUAUAUGCGCUAACUCCUCGGAGAAGCAUUAUCCUAAGGUGAGGCUGGUAACUGGGAUGAAGUCGUAACAAGGUAGCCGUAGGGGAACCUGCGGCUGGAUCACCUCCUUUCUACGGAGUAAGAGUCUUUAAUAGACUCGGUCGACACCUAACUUAAUCGCAGCGAGUUUUACUUGACUGCGUUUGAUGGUGGAAGUGCCAGAAAUGGCCUUCACAAAUAUUUGAGUGACCACUAACGCACCCCUUUUUUAGAGGCGCAGUGCACAAUCUGAUUUUUUGUCUUUCACUCACCGUAAAGAUUAUAUGGGGGUUUAGCUCAGUUGGUAGAGCGUCUGCUUUGCAAGCAGAAUGUCAACGGUUCGAAUCCGUUAAUCUCCACCAAUUUUUUUCUAAGCCUCUCAAUCUUUCGAGUCGCUAAUGAUUUAAUUGGGCUUGUAGCUCAGUUGGUUAGAGCGCACGACUGAUAAUCGUGAGGUCGGCAGUUCGAGUCUGCCCUGGCCCACCAUCUUUACAACAACUCCACUGGUAAGAGUUACCAGUGCUGAGAGUGAAUUGACUACUACAUCUUUCUUGUGAGACCCAUAUUGCGAAUAUGAGCGCCGCUCUUUGACAUCCGUGUGAAGUUUUUCCAGACUGUGGAGUUGGAUUUAGAUUUAAAUUUAGAUUCAUUUCGAUUCAGCUCCCAUGAUAAAUGAAAUACAGAUACUGAGUCUGUCUUGCAGUCCUUGGAAAAGACUACCAAUCUAAUUUUUAUGGCGAAGAGCAGUCCUAGUGACUGACUCUUCAGAGAAGCAGUCUUAAUUGGCUGACUUUUCAAAACCUGAUUUCAAGAGAAAUUAGGAAUUAAGUUAUUAAGGGCAUAGAGUGGAUGCCUUGGAGCUAGAAGGCGAUGAAGGACGUGAUAAGCUGCGAUAAGCUUCGGUGAACUGCAAACAAGUGCUUGAACCGGAGAUUU
rnacentral:sRNA from 1 species